GCUUCUGGGUGGACCCAAGAGAGUGUUGCAAGGAGUCGAUUGCUUUUGCCUGGGAGAGGCAGCUCAGCAGAGGACCGGGCUCAAGUUAGCUGAACAAAGGUCUACGACUUUCUGGUCAGGCAGGGAGGUUGCCUGCUGAGAUUCAGGAGACUGUGCUGGUCUGUUGGGUAGGUGUCCAGCCAGCUGGAGAUUAUUCAUGUUUGCAGCUAGGAUAACGUGCGCCUAGCGCUAGAGACCCGGAGCUUCCUCUCCCAGGUGGAGUUGGGAGUUCAAAGAUGAGAGCGAGAAUUGAAAAGGAAGUGUGGGACAGGAGAGGAGUAGCUUACAUUGCUGCCUUUCACAAAGACAAAGCAGCAACUGCAAAAGGCUUCUACUACUUCAAAUACUUAAAAUAGAAAGUCUACUCAGCUCUUUACUCUAGCAGGUGGAUCUUUGUGAAGAGGAAAGUAGUUUGACUUCUCAGCUUUAAUUUCUAUUCAAAAGGUAAGACAUGGGGUGUCUUCUUUUUCUCUGUAUUUUGAAUUACACAUUUAGUCUCAAUUUGCUGAGAUUUUCCUGGAGUCUAGUAACAGAUUGCCAGUCUUUUUUAUAGUACUUUGUUUCCUGAAUUCCAACUAGUAACUUUUCUGCCAUGCUCAUGUUGCAUUUCACUACUGAAAGAACAUUAAUUACUCUUGCCGGUGUGGUGAUGCCCACCUGUACUCCCAGCACUUGGGAAGCUGAGGCAGGAGGAUUGCCACAAAUUUGAGGCCAGCACGGACUGCAUAGUAAGCUCAAGACUAGCCUGGAC
rnacentral:lncRNA from 1 species